CUUUUUCCUUCUCUCUCACCUUGUCUUUUACAUCCUUAGGGAACCAGGAAAGAAAUCUCCUUCUCCCUCACCUUGUUUGCUAAAUCAGUAUCAAAAUCUCAAAGGUUAUAGUUUUAUUUUCUUUCUUCUCAUUCUCUCGUUCUCCUCUCCACAUGAAAUCCCAACUUUGUCAUAUCUCCUCAUCUUCAUCCUUCUAUUAAGAACCAGAAAGAAAACCAAUUUUCUUCUUGUAUUCAUCUCUCCAGAUCCAUUUGCUAAUUACCUUAACCAAUCGACCUUCAUGAACCUAAAAGCCACCACUACGAACCAGAAAGAAAAACUCAACCAUUAAAAUCCCUUCUUCUAAAACCCUUUCUUCGAAACCCUUACCUUCGAAAUAAACCCAUUUUCUAUUGUUCUUGAAUCAAUUUCAUGUUCGAAAGAAACCCAUUUUCAUUUUUCUUCACAAUUUCCUUUUCGUGCUUGUUAGGGGUUUUAUUUUCUACAAACUUUAUCAGGUAAAAGUUGGGAUUUUUCUCUAUUUUUCAUCAUUAGAGUCAGGGUUUGAUUUUGGUUGACAGGGUUUUAAUUAUCACUCAGUUUAUUGUAGCAAAUUGCUAGAAGAACAUUUAACAUCUUUGAAGAUUUCCAACCUUCAGAUCGUUGGUGGUGGUGGAGGUUGUGUGGACUGAACUGGUGUUGAUGACUGGAUGCUUGGAGAGGGAAUCAAUGAGUUCGAUAAAGCACUGGUGGUGAUGGUAACCAGCUCGCUGGUGGUGGUGUAGGUUGUAUGGACUGAACUGGUGGUGGUGAAGAGGUGUUUGGAGAGGGAGAGCAAUUUGCAGGUGCUGUUAAAAGGGUGAACAUGAACUUAUGGGAAAGGUCUUCUUUGGUAGUGUUGUUGGUGCAAAUUCAGGCCAAUCUCUUGCUUGACAAACACCAUUAGGUGCAGGGUUACAUAAUACUGUAAUCUGCACUACCACAAACAAAGUUUGGGCAUCAUGAAUGAAAGUAAUUUAGAAAUAUGCCUUAUAUGCUGCAAUCUGUGCUUCCGUAGAAAUGCUAAGUAUUUGGUGCUAUUCCUCGAAGAUUCACAGGGCAACCCGGAGCUGUGCAAUUCCAAAUGAAAAUUGUUAACAAUAAGGCAAGUAAAAGUAGCAGAUGUUGGUUUAACUGUAAGUGGUAUUAUGGUACAGCAUAUUUCCACAUAUUCGACUUAGGAUAUGCAAGGAUUCUCUUUGAGGAAUCUUUAGCAUUCAAUAACAGUGGAGUUGGAUUAUUGAUGAUCGUUAGAUUUGGGUUGUCAAAAGCAUCGAGUAAAGAUUCAGCGUAACUUCAUGAAAUGUCAGCUUAACGGUUUGGGUGUAUUUUCAGUUCAAUGGGGACAAAGGAUGUGGGUGAUGCAUAGACAUUGGCAAUCAUGGUAAUAUUUUUGGCUUUAAUAUUUAUGUCUGUAACGCUUUACAUUUGACAAGGUAGGCAUUCUUAUUCAAGUCUUGUUAACACUUUAAGUUUUAUAUUUUCUGAUCAGACUCCACCGUAUCCAUAUAUGACUCUUGUGAGAGAUACUAGAGGUUCAUUCAUUUCAAGGAGUGAUGCUCUUUUUUAGUCUAGAAAGUCAUCCUGAAAAUAUUAGAAUUAAUUAUCAUAUUAUGUCUUCAGCAACACCGAUACAGGAUGGUAUUCGAGUGACUCAAUAAUGUUCCUUGUUAUUGUAGCGAGUUCAAUUGAAAAGUUAUCUUUAAAAGCCUUUUUUUCAGACACCCUUGUUCAGAGACUUCUUAUAGAAAAUGAAAAGCAAGCUUAAAAGCCCUUUUUUCUUUAUAAUCCAUCUUUCCCGUUUUUAAGAAUUCCCUUAGUAGUCUUUAUAUUCGAUCUAGAGGUUUAUAUUGUGGUAUGUUAGUCUCCUGGGCUUGACAAAGUGAUGCAGCUCUCCACAGAGAAUGAUAUUGUCUAGAGUAGAGCCCUUAUAAUCAUAACAAGCUUGAACAUUUGCAUCUUUAAAGGGAUUCGAUCUUAAGCAGGGACCACAAUGAAGUGUUAAUCUAAUGUACCCCUGAGCAUGAUAAAUUGUAUAACAUCCUUCUAUGAACUAGUAAAACGAAACAAGAAAGAAGAUGUCGGAUGUUGUUGCAUCAUGUUGUGACUGGUGUCAAUGUUUUAGUAGUUCUGAAAUUCUAUUAGUUCGUCCAAUUUGGUUACGUUGGGUGCUAAUAUUUUAUAUCUGUAAUAGUUUUCUUUAUUCCGAUAAAGAUCGUUUUCAACUGCUAGCUACAAGCUUAGUACGGAUGGCAAUUAAAUUUAUUAAUCUUGUAUUAGUGUUGUGUGUUUAACCUUGGUGCAAUGUUGUUACUCCUGACACCAUCAACAAGCGAUCGAACACCUAUUAAGGUAUCUUUUUAGCCAAUUCAUAAAAUUUCAUUUAACAACCCAUUUAUCUACUUUAGCCAAAAAUUUACUAAUAAACCAACACGAAAUUAUCUAAGAGUAUCAAGUUCAUGUCCAUGUUUCGGCGCAAACAAAGUUCGAUCAUCUAAGAAUCCAUCUGCAUAUUUAUGUUUGAAAUAUAAUUUCAAUUUUUUUGUUUGUUUAUCCUUUUCUUGCAGCCUUCACAAUCAGUGCUUGCGGAAAUUUUUGUUUACUUUAGACGGAGACAGAGUUGAUGAAUUGAACGCGCUUUACUCUCCAAUCCUUGGUGCGCUGUUCGGAAGUGUGGGCUUAUUUGAUCAACGAGAAGCUUAUCGUUUUGCUGGUUUGCACUUGUCAUUAAGAAACCUUCAACUUAUUAGGACUUGUACCACUUAUCUUUCAGAAAAAUCUUGAACUUAUUAGGUACUGUAUUGGUGUCAAUUCAGUAUUAAAAUCUUGUUAUAUCAUUUUUGAACUGAAUUUAUGAAUCAAAUGAAUGUUCAAUGGAAUGGUAAUUUGAGUUUGUAAAUCCAA